GCGCGCCGCUGACGUCAGGGACCAAUGGCUGCGGCCACAGCUACCGCGCUGGAAUCCUGGCAGGCCGCGGCUCCGCGGAAGAGGCGCUCGGCGGCUCGACGGCCGCGGCGGAGGGAGGCGGCGCCCCGGAGUCCCAAGGCGGAGUUCGAGUCUGACAGCGGAGUCGUGCUUCGUCGCAUCUGGGAGGCUGAGAAGGACCUGUUUAUCUCUGAUUUCUGGAGUUCAGCACUAGAUUCCCAGAAGUCACUGUUGGGUAUAUGACCCUCUGUUUAGCCAACUUGAAAUUGAAGUACUGAACACCCUUGGUGUGACUGUUCUCAGUGAGAAUGAGGAAGGGAAACGGAGUAUUCGCGGGGAACCUACCAUCUUUUACAUGCUCCAUUGUGGGACGGCCUUGUACAACAAUCUUUUAUGGAGUAAUUGGUCAGUAGAUGCCCUUUCUAAGAUGGUCAUCGUUGGGAACAGUUUCAAAGGACUUGAGGAGAGGCUGUUGGCAAGGAUUCUGCAGAAAAAUUAUCCCUACAUUGCAAAGAUUUUAAAAGGACUGGAGGAGCUUGAGUUUCCUCAGACUUCACAAUACAUGGACAUAUUUAAUGACACCUCUGUCCACUGGUUCCCCAUGCAAAAGCUAGAACAGCUCUCCACAGAUAUUUGGGAGUUUCAGGAAGAACCAGAUUAUCAGGACUGUGAGGACCUUGAAAUCAUCAGGAACAAGACAGAAGAUCCUUCCACUACUGACUGAACUCACUGUGAGGUACUCAGUGUUGGCUGAGGUAGAAGCUGCCACCGGAGACUAAAGGGAAGGCUGCCAUGGAGGAACUACAGAGAACUCCUUUGCCAGGAAAGAACAUCAACUUGGCUGUCUUGUUUUGAGGACGAUACCCCCCAUGAGGACUUGGUAUAAAGAUUCCUGCACUGCUAAGUGGCAUUGUCCCGCUUUACAUGCUUCCCUCGUGACCUGGCCCAAUGUGGAGUAGCUCCCGAGUAAAGAAGUUACGCUUUUGAAGGUGAUCUAAAAUACCGUUUAUUCACAACACAUCCCUCUCAGGGGCAAGUCUCUGGCUGGCUCUGGGCCUGCCACAGUUCACUUGGCCAUGUCGAUCAGGCUCUGCAGUGAGGUGGGCACCCAUGUCUUCUCGCCCUGGACAAAGACCACUCCCCGGUCGAUGUAGAUCACAAUGCGGCCAAAGGUGUAGAGCUGCUUCCCUUCGUGUCGCUUCCCAAUGACGGGCAUGAAGACAAUGUUGUGCUCCUCAGCCUUGGUCUCAAUGAGGUCCUUAAAGUUCAUGGGCACAGAGCUGGCGGCCACGCCAAUGCCCCUCUGGGCCAUGUUCUCAGCCUCCCGCCUCUCCUGCAUGGCCUCGUACUGGAAGUCCUUCCUCCGCUCCGUGUGGGUGAGAUAGGCAAUGUUCUCCCGCGCGCCUGGCUGCAUGUAGGCACCUGAGAGAUACAGGAGGACAGGGCAGUGAGAAGAGGUGUUUCCAGGUGUAUGGAAGUUGACGCUGACUUGGCCCAGGUCUGGGUGUGCCAGAGUGUUUGUGACUCACUGAAGGGCAGUUCUGCCUCAAAGAUACAACUUUGGAGGAAGUUUAGACAACUGGCCAGUAUCACAUAAAAACUGUUCAGAAGGUUUCUGGCUAGUAUCUAGUAACCAAAGAGAUUAUUAAAUAUUCAACAUUUAAAAAUGAA